UACAGAGGGGGCAAGCGUUAUUCGGAAUUAUUGGGCGUAAAGGGCGCGUAGGCGGCCAUUCAAGUGACGGGUGAAAGCCCUCGGCUUAACCGAGGAACUGCCUGUCAGACUGGAUGGCUUGAGACCGGGAGAGGUGAGUGGAAUUCCCAGUGUAGCGGUGAAAUGCGUAGAUAUCUGGAGGAAUACCGGUGGCGAAGGCGGCAUCCUGGACCAUUACUGACGCUGAGGCGCGAAAGCUAGGGGAGCAAACGGG
rnacentral:rRNA from 1 species